rnacentral:rRNA from 1 species
CCACGGGGGGCAGCAGUGGGGAAUAUUGCACAAUGGGCGCAAGCCUGAUGCAGCGACGCCGCGUGAGGGAUGACGGCCUUCGGGUUGUAAACCUCUUUCAGCAGGGGAGAAGCGAAAGUGACGGUACCUGCAGAAGAAGCGCCGGCUAACUACGUGCCAGCAGCCGCGGUAAUACGUAGGGCGCGAGCGUUGUCCGGAAUUAUUGGGCGUAAAGAGCUUGUAGGCGGUUUGUCGCGUCUGCUGUGAAAGCCCGGGGCUUAACCCCGGGUUUGCAGUGGGUACGGGCAGACUAGAGUGCAGUAGGGGAGACUGGAAUUCCUGGUGUAGCGGUGAAAUGCGCAGAUAUCAGGAGGAACACCAAUGGCGAAGGCAGGUCUCUGGGCUGUAACUGACGCUGAGAAGCGAAAGCAUGGGGAGCAAACAGGAUUAGAUACCCGGGAGUC